rnacentral:rRNA from 1 species
UGCAAGUCGAGCGAAUCUCAGGGAGCUUGCUCCCUGAGAUUAGCGGCGGACGGGUGAGUAACACGUGGGCAACCUGCCUAUAAGACUGGGAUAACUUCGGGAAACCGGAGCUAAUACCGGAUAACUCAUAUCUACUCAUGUAGAUAUGCUAAAAGACGGUUUACGCUGUCACUUAUAGAUGGGCCCGCGGCGCAUUAGCUAGUUGGUGAGGUAACGGCUCACCAAGGCGACGAUGCGUAGCCGACCUGAGAGGGUGAUCGGCCACACUGGGACUGAGACACGGCCCAGACUCCUACGGGAGGCAGCAGUAGGGAAUCUUCCGCAAUGGACGAAAGUCUGACGGAGCAACGCCGCGUGAGUGAUGAAGGUUUUCGGAUCGUAAAACUCUGUUGUUAGGGAAGAACAAGUACCAGAGUAACUGCUGGUACCUUGACGGUACCUAACCAGAAAGCCACGGCUAACUACGUGCCAGCAGCCGCGGUAAUACGUAGGUGGCAAGCGUUGUCCGGAAUUAUUGGGCGUAAAGCGCGCGCAGGCGGUCCUUUAAGUCUGAUGUGAAAGCCCACGGCUCAACCGUGGAGGGUCAUUGGAAACUGGGGGACUUGAGUACAGAAGAGAAGAGUGGAAUUCCACGUGUAGCGGUGAAAUGCGUAGAGAUGUGGAGGAACACCAGUGGCGAAGGCGACUCUUUGGUCUGUAACUGACGCUGAGGCGCGAAAGCGUG